GUCUUCAUGGUGUAGUGGUCAGCACGCUCGGCGCGUAUUCGAGAGGCCCGUGGUUCGAGUCCAGGUGAGGGCA
rfam:Stegodyphus mimosarum contig58353, whole genome shotgun sequence.